CAGCAGCCGCGGUAAUACGUAGGUCCCGAGCGUUGUCCGGAUUUAUUGGGCGUAAAGGGAGCGCAGGCGGUUUAGUAAGUCUGAAGUUAAAGGCAUUGGCUCAACCAAUGUAUGCUUAGGAAACUGUUAGACUUGAGUGCAGAAGGGGAGAGUGGAAUUCCAUGUGUAGCGGUGAAAUGCGUAGAUAUAUGGAGGAACACCGGUGGCGAAAGCGGCUCUCUGGUCUGCCACUGACGCUGAGGCUCGAAAGCGUGGGUAGCGAACAGGAUUAGAUACCCCGGUAGUCCCUGUCUCUUAUACA
rnacentral:rRNA from 1 species